rnacentral:rRNA from 1 species
GUCUAUGGCCAUACCAUCCUGAACAUGCCCGAUCUCGUCUGAUCUCGGAAGCUAAGCAGGGUCGGGCCUGGUUAGUACUUGGAUGGGAAAGAGGCCAAGAGUACUAGACU